ACGGCCAAUUCCAUGUUGAAAACACCGGUUCUCGUCUAAUCAACAAAGUUAAGCAAUGUUGGGUCCUGUCAGUACUUGGGAGGGUGACCACUUGGGUGCUGUAGGUU